rnacentral:rRNA from 1 species
ACACGACUACAUUAGAUACCCGGGUAGUCCUAGCCGUAAACGAUACUCGCUAGAUGUCGGCCACGGUGCGACCGUUGUCGGUGCCGUAGGGAAGCCGUGAAGCGAGCCACCUGGGAAGUACGGCCGCAAGGCUGAAACUUAAAGGAAUUGGCGGGGGAGCACCACAACGGGUGGAGCUUGCGGUUUAAUUGGAUUCAACGCCGGAAAUCUUACCGGGACCGACAGCAACAUGAAGGCCAGGCUGAAGACUUUGCCGGAUUAGCUG